rnacentral:rRNA from 1 species
GACGAACGCUGGCGGCGUGCUUAACACAUGCCAGUCGAACGGAAAGGCCCUGCUUUUGUGGGGUGCUCGAGUGGCGAACGGGUGAGUAACACGUGAGUAACCUGCCCUUGACUUUGGGAUAACUUCAGGAAACUGGGGCUAAUACCGGAUAGGAGCUCCUGCUGCAUGGUGGGGGUUGGAAAGUUUCGGCGGUUGGGGAUGGACUCGCGGCUUAUCAGCUGGUUGGUGGGGUAGUGGCUUACCAAGGCUUUGACGGGUAGCCGGCCUGGGAGGGUGACCGGCCACAUUGGGACUGAGAUACGGCCCAGACUCCUACGGGAGGCAGCAGUGGGGAAUAUUGCACAAUGGGCGGAAGCCUGAUGCAGCAACGCCGCGUGCGGGAUGACGGCCUUCGGGUUGUAAACCGCUUUCGCCUGUGACGAAGCGUGAGUGACGGUAAUGGGUAAAGAAGCACCGGCUAACUACGUG